UCCUUGUUAAUAUAGUGGUGACUACUACAGCCUGUCAUGUGGGAGACCAGGGUUCAAUUCCUUGACAGGGAG
rnacentral:tRNA from 1 species